CGGGAGGAGCGCACACAACCGUCCGUCCGGCCAUCCCAUCGCGUCGGCUUCACUCAAACGGCUUCUCCCGCAUCCUAUAAAAACCUCCUCACCAACUUCCCAUGGCGGAAAUUCUCGCCCUCCCACACCGACCCCUCUCCCCCUCGGCCCGCCUUCCCCCGGGAACACGCGCCCUGCGCCACCGACUGAUCCCAGGCCGUCGCCGCGUCCGACCUAGGUCGCGAGAUCUCGGGGGAGCGGAGCCCCGCCGCGCUCCCGCUUCCUGCAGGAGACACGCAGGGACCGCGCGGCGCGAUGGUGGAGACGGGCGGGGGGAGGCUGCACCAGCGCCGGGGCGCGGUCGCCUUCGUCGCGGCAAACAAGGCGCUGCUGGCUGCCGCGUGGGUCGUCGGGUUCGCGCUCGUGUUCCUGUGGCAGAGCGCCUCGAUGUCCUUCGGCAGCGCUGGCGCCGGCGGCGCCGCUGGCGGAGGGUUCCUCAGGCUCCUGUCGGCGCCGCCUCCGCCGCCGCGCCCCGCGCCGCGGCUUCGCCCCACGGCGUACAACCUCACGGACUUCGGCGCCGUCGGGGACGGCCGGGCCGUCAACACCGAGGCGUUCGAGCGCGCUGUCGAGACCAUCGCCGCCCUCGCGGAGCGAGGCGGCGGGCAGCUUAAUGUGCCCCCCGGGCGCUGGCUCACGGCGCCCUUCAACCUCACCAGCCACAUGACGCUGUUUCUUGCCGAGGGCGCGGAGAUCCUUGGCAUUACGGAUGAGAAGUACUGGCCAUUGAUGCCAGCAUUACCAUCAUAUGGGUAUGGGCGGGAGCGCAAAGGACCACGCUUUGGGAGUCUCAUUCAUGGACAGAAUUUGAAAGAUGUAGUCAUUACAGGACAUAAUGGGAGCAUAAAUGGCCAGGGUGAAGUUUGGUGGAUGAAGCAUCGCAGAAGAAUUCUGAAUAACACAAGACCUCCUCUUGUGCAGCUGAUGUGGUCCAAGGACAUUAUUAUUGCCAACAUAACAUUGAGGAAUUCACCUUUCUGGCACUUGCAUCCGUAUGAUUGCACAAAUGUAACUGUUUCGAAUGUUACUAUCUUAUCUCCUGUUUCUGGUGCUCCAAACACAGAUGGCAUAGAUCCAGAUUCUUCUCAGGAUGUGCUUAUUGAGAAUUGCUACAUAUCGGUUGGUGAUGAUGCAAUAGCUAUAAAGAGUGGUUGGGAUCAGUAUGGGAUUGCAUAUGGUCGCCCAUCUUCUAACAUUUCAAUCCGCAAUGUAAAUGCCCGUUCUCUAGUGAGUGCUGGAAUUUCAAUAGGAAGUGAGAUGUCUGGCGGAGUAGCAAAUGUUACGGUGGAGAAUGUACGCAUCUGGGAAUCAAGAAGAGGUGUGAGGAUAAAGACUGCCACGGGAAGAGGUGGCUACAUCCGUAACAUCUCCUACCGCAACAUUACUUUUGACAAUGUUCGUGCUGGGAUUGUGAUAAAGGUUGACUACAACGAGCAUGCUGAUGAUGGAUAUGACCGGACAGCAUUCCCAGAUAUCACGAGUAUAUCGUUCAAGGGAAUCCAUGGGCGGGGUGUUCGGGUGCCUGUCCGUGCUCAUGGCAGCGAUGUCAUCCCCAUCAGGGACAUCAGCUUCCAGGACAUGUCGGUAGGCAUCAGCUACAAGAAGAAGCACAUCUUCCAGUGCUCCUACGUUGAGGGGCGCGUCGUCAGGCCCGUGUUCCCGAAACCAUGUGAGAACCUGGACAUCUAUGACGAGCAAGGGCAGCUUGUCAAGCGGGCAGUGGCCCUGAACAGCACAGAACUUGACUACGAUAUAUGAGGCGCAUACCAUACCACAGCAUUGACAGUUGGAGUAGUGGAAAUUGGUGCUCUCUACCCUCAGAAAUCAAUUUUCUCCAAUUCUCCAGGUUUUUUUGAUCUAGAAUUGUAAAUAGAGGAGAUUCUCCUCUUGAUAGGUUUGCUGCUUACAGUGGCUGAUUGUAUCUCACCGCUCACCGGUGAUUUGGCCAUGGACAUUUCGCAUCGCCAGAACCUUCCUGGCGACAAAUGCAUGCUGUCAAUAUAUUGUACGGCUGAAUAGUCUAUCUGUUGGGCCGGGCUUUACAUUCGAUGUUUAAUUGGGCCAAAACUGCAAGAUGUUACUACUCUACUUGCCACCCAUGAUUACAACGAGCAUACCAACCUGCUCCUGUUUCAAUUUCACCGGUCUUCAACCAGUGGAAGUGACGGCCGGACGUAGGGAAGAGUACUUCGUAGACUACUACAGUAGUAGUGUUCCAAAACUACACUUGAAAGUGACUGCUAGUACCAAGAAGGGUCAGUUCACGGGUUUUAAUUUAUCUGCCAAGCUUUGUUUUGACAGCCACAAAUUAAAUUUCACGGGCUCAUUCAUGGCAAUGGCUUGCCCUACUUUCUGCAAUAGUUUUUCAGCUAAGCGAAUCGAUCAAAGUCAGCUGAAUUGUCCUCAUCGCCAUCCAUCCCAUCUCGUGGCCAUGCAUUCCAAGCAAAGGCUUCUUUA